GGAGGAAUACCCAAGUCCGGCUGAAGGGAUCGGUCUUGAAAACCGACAGGGCGUGAAAGCGUCGCGGGGGUUCGAAUCCCUCUUCCUCCGCCA
rnacentral:tRNA from 6 species